AAGAAAGACCAGCACUGCGGACAUCAAACAUCUCCUCCGUUUUUGGAAGAGAAUAGCUGCUUCAUAACUUAGGUGCACGGAUACAAGCACCUGUUUUGGAAAACAAAAUGAGACUCUGCUCUUGAAUCUUGAUAAAAAGGGAAACGCUCCUGCCGCCCCUUCCCCUUCCAGGUGCUUUUCGGUCUUUGCACGGGUUCUGUCUCUGGCUCACGAGGGCUGCCCAGAGUGGUCACUGUGGAUGAACAGGUCCUUGGGAGCUAAGGGAGGAGGAGGAAAGCCCACCCCCUCGGGGCUUCUCAGCAUGGACCCCAGGACUUCACUCCAUAUGGUUCAUAAAGGGGAUGUGUGGUUAGUUCAUGCCACACAUGUGGAAUUGUUUUUCCCAGCAAAGGAGUCAGUCAAGGUGGUUGAAUGUUUAUUUCGGAAGCAGCGGAUCAACACCAUUCUGAAAAAGCAGUAUGCUGUUCUAAAGCACACAGGGGCAGAGGGAGGCCCCACGCAGUACGUCAAAUAAAAGAGGAGAGGGAAGAGAAAGGGAAUGUUUUCUGAGGGUAAUCGCGCCCACCUAUUCCCACCAAAAGCUUUCAUCAAAAGUUGAACUGACCCAAAAGACACUCCGGCAUUUGCCCAGGGAUCCCCAGGGAGAAGUUGGCCUUUCCAACAGGCAUUGGUGGGUGGCAGAAGAAACCUAUAUGACACACAGCUGGGACUCUGUAUCCAAUAGAAGUCUGAUGGAAAGCCCUGGAAUUAAAGAGGGCUAGACAAGUCCCCAGACCGGGCACUUGGGUCCCUCAGAAGGCCAGUGCAGCCUGGUGGCAACCUCGGCUGGUGUUUGCCAAAACAGCAUGUGGCCGAGGAAGCACAGCUGCAGCUGGAGCGAGAUUCUGCAGGCAGUCAGGCUGGGGGCCGAGGCGGUGCCCACAGCGAGAGCCGGCUCACAGCAGUCUGUGGGUUGACAGGAUUCUACAGACAGGAGCAGGUUGAGAUGGAACUCUCAGAGCAGACUGGGGGCAAGCAGGAAAGGAAUAAGGAUUUGACUGGAAAGAUAGGAGGGGCGUGGAUUACAGGAGAGAGCACUAAUGCAAGUCUCUAAGAUGCAGAAAGAUGAGGCACAGAGAAGUGGCAGCCUGCUCUAGUUCCCGUAAUUAAAGAUUACAGUCAGGCUUGGAGCCCACGGUCCAGACACGCAGUGCUCUCUCCACACUACCGUGGUGCCCAACUCAUACUUCUGCCACAACUGCCCUCUCCAUUUCUGGCCCUGUUUGAAACCCCUAAUUCUCACUGAACACAAUAAAUCCUCCAAAAUUAAGACAACAAUUUCACGCACAGUAGAGCAAAUGGGUGGAUGAGAACAAAUUUAUCCAGCAGCAAAGACGACAGAGCCACUUUGUGGUUCCCGUUAGGUUAAGGUUGAGCCCCUAGAGACACCCCACCUUUGUUUCUCAUGUGAACCCCCCUGAGUGAAAUAGUAACAACAGGUGCUGUGAUUGGAAGUUAUAACAGUGAACUCCUGACUCUUGAAAAGUGUACAUUGUGAUAGCAAUUGUUGGCAGUGAGCACUGUAACAGUGAGCUAGCAAAGGAGCUUUUCUGCUGCUGAGUCCAUCAGGAAAGUCACUGGGAUGUAAGCUGAGAAAGGGAGAGUGUAAGGUUUCAGAGAAAUAAGGGAGUCACUUAAAAAUACAUUUGUUUGGUUUGUUUUUAACGGUUACAGAACAAUAGACAAUAGAGCCAGGUGUCUCAGUGACAUCUCUCAAGCUUUCGCAAGGUGUAACACGACUGAGAGUCCAUUCUGUUGAGACCAGCGGUACCCAGGAGAGACAGGGAGAGAAAGAGACCACCCAGAAUAGUGUCUUCUGUCCAAAUAAGAACAUUAAAACAGAUGGAUGGAGGGAGCCAGUGAAUUUAAGACUUAUUCAAGUUUAAGUGAAAAUAAGUCAUACAAAGUUGAGAUAAAAUAUAGAACAGAGUUAGAUUUAUUUUUACUGUUUUAUUAUCUAGGUCAUACAAAAAAAAUAAAAUGUAAGCUACACAUCAAAAGGUAUGCAUGAUACAUAAAAUUAACUGGCAUAUGGCCAACUGUGAUUUUCUUGCAAAUAUUUUCCUUAGGGAUUAAUGUUUUUAAAAUAUAUCUUGCAAAUCAAUGUGAAAAACAUUAACAUCCAGUGGAAAUGUGGACGGUGUUCUUGAACAGAAAAUCACAGAAAUUAAAAUAUUGUUUAAAUGUUUCCCUUGUAAAAAAGGAAAGAAAAAAUAAAAAGAAAUGACCAUCAAUUUUAAAAGGACAUUUAAUGCCAAGAAAGUAAUCCCUGAAUCCCAAAGGGCAAAGAGCAUCCCCAUAAAUAGAAUAUACUUAGCUUUAUGAAACUCACCACUCUGUUCUUAUUUUUCUCAUUUCACUGCUAACCAGUGACUGAAGUCAGUCUGGGUCACUAUUUGAACUACUGACCUAGAAAGUUCUGAGUGCAUAGAUAAGGAAGCCUAUGCAAACGGAUGGGGGGUCCUAAUCCACAUAAACACCCAGGAUUGCUGGGAUAGCAAAGGAAUUUGCCAUCAGUGCAUUUGUCUGGUGGCCCUGAGGCCUCAUGGGAGAAACAGAAGACGUUGGGACUACCCGCCCCACUUCUGGACCCUAGGAUGAAGAGGCUCUAUCAAAAGACCAUGUUGAUAUCACGGCGGGAAGGGAAGCUGCCCAUGAAAGCAAGUGUCAUGAGAAGAACACUCUGCCCUGAAGGGCAGCAAGCUGUCAAGGCUGACGGCCCAACCCCACGUGCCCUAAGGAGAACUGCCAGUGGCUCUGGUCACAGUGUCUGCAGUGUCUGCAGCCCACCAGCCACAUGGGCGAGAGCAGGGUCCCUGAAACCACGAAUGACUAAACGGGAGAUGGUCCUUGCAGGAGGACCUUGCAUAAGACCCUCUCCACCAGAGCAGCCUCCCUCCACUUCUCUGAACACAAUGCCCCCACCUAGGAUAAGCCAGAUGCCUCACAGGUGCGCUGGCAGCUCACAGAGCAGAAGUAGGAGGCCCUGAGGCUGCCCAGGACUUCCCCAGGCUCCCCACUCAGAAGUGGCUGUGCCUUUUUCUGCAGGAAUCGUAGACUCAGGGCAAGCUGGAUCUGCAUUUCUCCAGCGACUUCUUCCUUGGGACCCCAGACCCUUAAGAGUCCUGUUCUUCAAUUACAGCAGUGAGAAUUCUGGCAAGAUGAAGACUCCCAAACCCCAAGUUACUGCUGGAGCUAACUGGGCCCUCACCGUGUGUCAGGCCCUGCGUGAGAAACACACAGUGGACAUCACCUCAUUCCAUCCUCACCACAUGUGUCACUGUGAGCUGUUUGCUGCUCUCAUUUUGCAGCUGAAGCCCUUGAGGCUAGAGGACCUCGGAGGACAUCCCUAAGGUUACACAGUAAGUGGUCAAGCUGGGAUUCAGGCCCAGGUCUGUCUACGCCAAAAGCCCCCGUGUUAGUUAUACUAUGCUCCCAGAAAGAGUAGCAGAAUGCAAUGUGUAUAUAUAUAUAUAUAUAUAUAGCCUGAAUGCACACCAGAAAGGGAAUGAUUACAUAAAUUUUAAGAUACCCACAUGGACACAAAGAAGGGAACAACAGACACUGAGGCCUACUUGAGGGCUGAGGGUGGGAGGACGAUGAGGAUUCAAAAACUGCUUAUCGAGUACUAUGCUUUUUACCUGGGGGAUAAAGUAAUCUGUACACCAAACCCCUAGGACACACAAUUUACCUAUAUAACAAACCUGCACAUGUACCCCUGAGCCUAAAAUAAAAGUUUAAAAUAUAUAAAAAUAAAAUAAAUUGUACAAUACUCAUACUAUGUAACUGUACGUAGAGCAGUAUGGCAUUUAUAAAUAAAUGAGCUAGAUUUACCUGUAUUAACCUAGAAACUUUCUAUGUCAUACGGUUG